rnacentral:pre_miRNA from 1 species
AUUGAGGUGGUAGAAUGUUCUCUGAAAGCACGCCUUGUAAGACGCACUUUCAGCCUAUACGACAUCCAAGUCAACUUAAAAUGCGUCCUACAGGGCGUACUUUCAGAGAACAUUUUGCCACCUUAUC